rnacentral:tRNA from 1 species
GCUCUCGUAACACAAUGGUUAGUGUACGUGCCUUCCAAGCAUGUGAUGUCGGUUCGAUUCCGACCGGGAGUA